UGCAAUUUAAGGGAUUCCAGCUGCUUUUAUAAAUCCUCACAGAAUAAGUCAUUCGUUCUUUCACGAUGGCCGAACAACAAGUUGAAACAGCGGUGUGGUGACCUGGAAGAAGUACUCUGUGGAGUACACCAAGACCUACAGGAUCCCGUUCCAGAUCUCCAGCUGCAUACAGUGCCGCAACCUGUACAAGGACUCGGAAGGCUACAGGGGACAUGGCCGCAGAGGACAACUCUCUGGGAUGUACUCGGAAGAUGAGCUGGCAGGAUUCUGCAGCAUUGACUGUUUCUAUGAUGCUGGAGGCACCUUCCAAGAAAAUGGCUGAUGGGGUUAAUAAUAAUUAGAACAGCCAAUAAAAUGUUUGUUUAA